rnacentral:tRNA from 1 species
CGCGUUACUGGGCCGGGGCCUCGAUGGCCUCGGAGGUCAGCAGGCCCGCGUUGAUCUCGCGCAGCGCGA